UCCUACGGGGGGCAGCAGUAGGGAAUAUUGCGCAAUGGGCGAAAGCCUGACGCAGCGACACCGUGUGAAGGAUGAAGGUCUUCGGAUUGUAAACUUCUGUCAAUUGGGGACGAAGGUACUGGGGUUAAUAGCCUUCAGUAUUGACGGUACCCAAUAAGGAAGUCUCGGCUUACUCCGUGCCAGCAGCCGCGGUAAGACGGGGGAGGCAAGCGUUGUCCGGAAUUAUUGGGCGUAAAGAGCGCGUAGGUGGUUUAUCAAGUCAUUUGUGAAAACUUUAGGCUUAACUUAAAGAUUGCAAGUGAUACUGGUAUACUUGAGCACAGUAGAGGAAAAUGGAAUUCCUGGUGUAGCGGUGAAAUGCGCAGAUAUCAGGAAGAACACCAGUGGCGAAGGCGGUUUUCUGGGCUGUUGCUGACACUGAGGCGCGAAAGCUAGGGGAGCGAACAGGAUUAGAUACCCUUGUAGUC
rnacentral:rRNA from 1 species